rnacentral:lncRNA from 1 species
UACUCUUAUAAGUAUAGAGUCCUUCAUACUCAUAAAUUAUUUUCGAUGUUUGGGCUUCCGAAUUGAUGAUCCAUACCGUUAAACAUGAUUUAGAGUAUUUGAAACUUUUAGAAAAUAAAUUUCAUAAUUUUUCGAAAUCAUUAUAAAGUCCAUCAAGCGGAUAUAAAAUGAACAGUCAAAAUCGAAUGACGUCCUAAAAAUGGAUGAUGGGAUCCUUCAAUUUAAGAUCGGGGUUAUUGAUCUUUAUCUAGGUAAUGAAUAGAAUUUUCUAUCAAAAAUUCAAGUUAUUCCGAUUCUUUUACACUGUUAAACUAGCAAGUAUCAUAUAUCAGCCGUUAAAAAUUGUCAAUUUUGUGAGCUAUUGAUCAUAAGGUAAAUUAUAUCGAAAAAUUAUAAAAUUUGAUUUCUAGAAGUUUUAAAUGCUAUAGAUAAUAUUUAACGGCCUGAAUCGUCGAUUCGGAAGGUCUAUCAUCGAAAACAACUUAUGAGUACGAAUGCGAUCGUACUCAUAAGACUAUAGUAGCCGGACUCAUAUAUAUAUAUAUAUAUAUAUAUAUGCAAGAUAAAUACAUUUGAUGAAAUAUUGUAGUUUCUAUUUAAAAGCCUCCUGUUAAAAAAAAAAAAAAAAAAAAAUGGUGUGAACCCAUUACCUUUUGAGGGGCUUUGCACUCUUUUCAUCUUAUUACUCCUUGUGUAAUAAAUAUGGUUUCCAUGAUGAGGACUAAUGUAGCCUCACUUUAGUGCCACCAUGUUAUGAAAUGUUUUGAUUUUUCCUUAAGUUUGAAAGUUAAGAUGAUUUGUUCAAGAUUUAACUACUGAUCCUUUCAUAUUAGGGAAAACCCAUUCAUUUGGUGAGAAAAAGAAAAAGAAGAAGAAGAAGAAAAAGAAGAAAAUGUGAGAUUAGAUGAUGAGCUAAAGUUAUCAGUUUUACCUAUUAUUUAUGUGCAAAAUCAUAUGAAAUUGCAAUAAAUAAAAGACAAGUUAAUUACUCUUUUAAAGAAGAAAUUAAGAAUUGAAAUUCACGCCUAAAAAAAAUACACAUCUCCUUAGCUAUCUGACUAACGUCAAUCAAUAGAGAUAAAAAAAAGAAAAAUUAUAAGCCGAUAGUAAAUUCAAAAUGCUCUGUAUAUAGUUCAACUACAUUCUAUAUAAUUUUUUUUUCUUUUUUUUUCUUCACAACUCUUGGUAUAAUUUUUAGUGUUCAUGUUAGUUGCCAUAUUCUACAAAUUCAACCAAUACAGUGCUUGCAUCAUUCCUUUUCACUGUAUCCAAACUAAAAAAGGGCUAGUGAAGCAUUUUCUAUCUUAAAAUUAAUAUUUUUUUUCUCAAAAGAAAAAAAAUAAAUUUUUUUGUGAGAGAGAGAGAGAGAGAGAGAGAGAGAGAGAGAGAGAGUACAAAUAGAAACCUUGCGAGUUUCCGAGCCGCACUAUAUUACGUCUCUUGGCUCUUUCCUUUUGUUUGAAUUAAUUGUCACCAACGAUACAUCUUCUCCUUUUUCCAUUAACCUACACCACCUCUUCUCUCCUAUCACUAUCUCCCUCGCAAAUAAUGUCCACUGCACAUGGCCUCUUCGUCCCCGAGANAGAGAGAGAGAGAGAGAGAGAGUAGGGCUACUAUACUCUUAUAAGUAUAGAGUCCUUCAUACUCAUAAGUUGUUUUCGAUGUUUGGGCUUCCGAAUUGAUGAUCCAUACCGUUAAAUAUGAUUUAAAGUAUUUGAAACUUCUAGAAAAUAAAUUUCGUAAUUUGUUGAAAUCAUUAUAAAGUCCAUCAAGCGGAUAUAAAAUGAACGGUCAAAAUCGAACGAUGUCCUAAAAAUGGAUGAUGGAAUCCUUCAAUUUAAGAUCAGGGCCAUUGAUCUUUAUCUAGGUAAUGAAUAGAAUUUUUUAUCAAAAAUUCAAGUUAUUCCGAUUCUUUUACACCGUUAAACUAGCAAGUAUUAUAUAUCAGCCGUUAAAAAUUGUCAAUUUUGUGAGUUAUUGAUCAUAAGGUAAAUUAUAUCGAAAAAUUAUAAACUUUGAUUUCUAAAAGUUUUAAAUGCUCUAGGUAAUAUUUAACGGUCUGAAUCGUCGAUUCGGAAGGUCUAUUAUCGAAAACAACUUAUGAGUACGAAUACGAUCGUACUCAUAAGAGUGUAGUAGCCGAACUCAUAUAUAUAUAUAU